rnacentral:lncRNA from 1 species
UGCAACUUGACCACUGUAUCCAGCCGAGACAAAUCAACAUCAGAAAGACCUUAGCAGCUCUACUACCGUGGAAGACCUAUUGACUUAAUAUUGGUUAAUCAGGUUAGUGUUUGCAACUUGAGCUAUUCAUAAGAGGUAAUCGAACAAUUGGCCAGGUAAGUAAGUGGGAGGCUCCCCUUACUCAGAGAGUAAGGUCCUAAUUAAGUAACCACCUUUCAUGCUUUCCUAGACACCAAUUAGAUCAAUUAAUCUAAUAUGACUUGCUCAUGUUGGUUCACUCUCGACUGGAUUGAGGAGGUUUUAAUUUAGGUCUCAAUUGGGUUUGCUACAUCACAUGUAAACCUAUCUACCCCGCUUUCAUUCACAUCACAUGCAAACGGCACAUCACAGGCAGUUAUAAUCGCAGCAUCAAAUAAAGCUAAACUUUUAAAUAGGUGAUGAUCAUGGAUUCUAAUUAGGUCGUAUUACAAGCACAUGCACGUCAAUCGAUCAGUUGGUCUUCAACU